AAUAUCUCCUCCUUCCCAGCCAGAUUCUUUCCUUCCGCUUUUCCUCCAUUCAAAGCGUGUUUUCCUCUCUUCGUGCCUCGUCUUUCCAUACAUCUACGAGAGAGGAAAAUUAUCGCAGAAAAGGAGGUUUGCGUCUCUUAAUUCUAACCUAAUCAGCCCCUGAUUUACCCUUUCCUAUCGAUACGCCUUCAGGUACUUUCUAUUUUGUUUUAAUUGCAUAUUAGGGUUCACAACCGCGUCUCAGAUCUGAUGGCAGAUUUUGAUUUUUUUGGAUAACUCCUAAACGGAAUACGGUUUAUUAUGUCCACAAACUUUUCCGAAUUAGGGUUCUAUCUGAACUUUACAUGUUUCUAUAGCGAUUCUGGUAUCUUCAAGGUAUUAGUCUUACGGUUUUAUACUUUAUGCUUGUACGGAUUUCUGACCUGGUUCCUUGAGUUUCUCAUCCUGACAUGUCAUGUACUCAUGUAUAACUCCACGAACCCCUAAAACUGAAUACGUUUUAUUACAGACAUAAACCCUUUUUCUCAUUAAGAUUUUCAUCCUGAGAUCAUGUAUAACUCCAUGUCUUCUCGUUGAUGAGUUCGGAAAAAUAUAUUUGAGAUCUUAGUCGUGCAAUAUUACUUUUUGAGUGAAGUUUGUGUUUGACAUCACGCUUGUGUUGAAUUUUAACCUGAUUUCUCGAGUCUUUUAGUGGUACAGAAUAAGUGGUGGUGAUGUUUUACUUCUAAUUCAUCGAGAGCUUUGUAUGUAGUAAACCAUUUAUUAGCUGGAAUGACAUGUCUAUCAGUAUUUUGGUACUGGAUUCCCAAAACUGAAAGCAGAUUAUAGUACCCCCAAACCACUUUUCUGUGUAUGGUGUAAAUCUGAAUCAGAUUUAUCCUGUUUAACUUCUUAUGUUUCUCAAAUGAUCUUUGAAAGUUAUUCUUAAGAUAGUAGCCAUUUGUUAUCUCUUUGUGCAGCAUCAGCAUGUGACUAAAUAUAACUUUGUGUUUUUUUUAUGCUAUUAAUUCUAACCUGAUUUCUUAUCAAGAAUUUUGUUUGGUGUAGUGAAUAGUGACAUUGGUUUUUUGAUAUGGCUGCUACCACAACUGAACCUACUCCAGCUCCUCGCUAUGCCCCAGAAGACCCUUCCCUUCCAAAACCUUGGAAAGGUUUAGUUGAUGGAGCCACUGGGUAUCACUACUAUUGGAAUCCAGUAACUAAUGUUACCCAAUAUGAGAAGCCCUCAGCAGGGUCUAAGGGUU
rnacentral:lncRNA from 1 species